rnacentral:rRNA from 1 species
CAGGCGUAGUCGAUGGACAACGGGUUGAUAUUCCCGACCCGGGGUUGAACGCGCCCCUGGUGAAUCAGUGAUGCUAAGCGCCCUGAAGCCGCCUUCGAACCUUCGGUUCUCCGGUGUGUGGAUGCGCGUGAACCGAUCUGGUAGUAGCCAAGCGAUGGGGUGACGCAGGAAGGUAGCUGAGCCAGUCAGUGGUAAUACUGGUGUAAGCGUGUAGGGCGUGACCUAGGCAAAUCCGGGUCGCAUUCAGCCUGAGACGUGAUGCGUAGCCGAUUGAGGCGAAUUCAGUGAUCCUAUGCUGCCGAGAAAAGCCUCUAGCGAGCUUUCACACGGCCCGUACCCCAAACCGACACAGGUGGUCAGGUAGAGAAUACUAAGGCGAUCGAGAUAACUGUGGUUAAGGAACUCGGCAAAAUGCCCCCGUAACUUCGGGAGAAGGGGGGCCUCGUCUGGUGACGGAACUUGCUUCCUGAGCUGGGUGGGGCCGCAGAGACCAGAGAGAAGCGACUGUUUACUAAAAACACAGGUCCGUGCGAAGUCGUAAGACGAUGUAUACGGACUGACGCCUGCCCGGUGCUGGAAGGUUAAGAGGACCGGUUAGCCAGUAAUGGCGAAGCUGAGAAUUUAAGCCCCAGUAAACGGCGGUGGUAACUAUAACCAUCCUAAGGUAGCGAAAUUCCUUGUCGGGUAAGUUCCGACCUGCACGAAUGGCGUAACGACUUCUCUGCUGUCUCAACCACAGACUCGGCGAAAUUGCAUUACGAGUAAAGAUGCUCGUUACGCGCGGCAGGACGAAAAGACCCCGGGACCUUCACUAUAGCUUGGUAUUGGUGUUCGGUUCGGUUUGUGUAGGAUAGGUGGGAGACUGUGAAGCGGGCACGCCAGUGUUCGUGGAGUCGUUGUUGAAAUACCACUCUGAUCGUAUUGGACAUCUAACCUCGGACCAUGAUCUGGUUCAGGGACAGUGCCUGGUGGGUAGUUUAACUGGGGCGGUUGCCUCCCAAAAUGUAACGGAGGCGCCCAAAGGUUCCCUCAGCCUGGUUGGCAAUCAGGUGUCGAGUGCAAGUGCACAAGGGAGCUUGACUGUGAGACUGACAGGUCGAGCAGGGACGAAAGUCGGGACUAGUGAUCCGGCACCGGCAAGUGGAAGCGGUGUCGCUCAACGGAUAAAAGGUACCCCGGGGAUAACAGGCUGAUCUUCCCCAAGAGUCCAUAUCGACGGGAUGGUUUGGCACCUCGAUGUCGGCUCGUCGCAUCCUGGGGCUGGAGUAGGUCCCAAGGGUUGGGCUGUUCGCCCAUUAAAGCGGCACGCGAGCUGGGUUUAGAACGUCGUGAGACAGUUCGGUCUCUAUCCGCCGCGCGCGUUAGAAACUUGAGGAAGGCUGUCCCUAGUACGAGAGGACCGGGACGGACGAACCUCUGGUGUGCCAGUUGUUCCGCCAGGAGCACUGCUGGUUAGCUACGUUCGGAAGGGAUAACCGCUGAAAGCAUCUAAGCGGGAAGCCUGUUCCAAGAUGAGGUUUCUCACCCCCUCGAGGGGGUAAGGCCCCCGGCAGACCACCGGGUUGAUAGGCCAGAACUGGAAGUCCGGUAACGGAUGGAGGUGACUGGUACUAAUAGGCCGAGGACUUACCACAA